ACAAUGACGUCAUGUUUACAUCGUACCAGCCAAUAGCGGCCGGGCAUUGCCGGUUGCCAAGUACGUUCUCUAUGCUCGGCAUGAUGGGGUCUGCAGAGCCCCGGAGAACGGUGCGUUAUCCAUCCCAGCAACAGAGUGACCGGAGAAGGGCAAAGACAAGAGUUAAUAUUGGCAAAGCAUGUGCUCGAUGGACUCAAAUAAAGGAUUCCCACGGCAUAAGAACGCACGCGGAAAUGGCUACUUUUCUCCUUGAUCGAUGCACUGAGAAAAUAUUUGAACGAGAAAACCCAAGAAGCUGCUGCAGAGGGGCCUUCUCUGACAUCUCCUCCACUCGAUGAAGAAUCUAUAAGUCACGCAACAAGCAGCAACACGGCUGGAUUCAGCACAUCACCUCACUACCUCACGACUUCCAGUGAGACACAGCCUGAAUCAGUAUGACUGGAUACUACAAUAUCCCUGCUGUCAGAAUUGCUGCAGUACACUUGGAGUAAACUACUUUGGCAAAGUGAAGGUGAGAAGAGGUAACACUGUGAAGAGGUAUGGUUUCAUAUUCACAUGCUUAACAUCUUGUGCAAGCCAUCUGGAAGUGACACAAAUUUGGCUGGAUUUGGCCCAGCUGCAGAAAAUGUUCAGAUGCUGUCUGUGCUCUCUCUCCUCCUCUCUGUUCUGCUGUCUGUGCUGAUCCACUCUGGAUGCUUUCAUCUCCUCUCUCUCCUCCUCUCUGUGUUGGUCUACUCUGGAUGCUUUCAUCUCCUCUCUCUCCUCCUCUCUGUGCUGAUCCACUCUGGAUGCUUUCAUCUCCUCUCUCUCCUCCUCUCUGUGUUGGUCUACUCUGGAUGCUUUCUUCUACUCUCUCUCUCUCCUCUCUGUUCUGCUGUCUGUGCUCCCUCUCCUCCUCUUUGUCCUGCUGUCUGUGCUCUCACUCCUCCUCUCUGUGUUGGUCCACUCUGGAUGCUUUCUUCUCCUCUCUCUCCUCCUCUCUGUUCUGUUGUCUGUGCUCUCUCUCCUCCUCUCUGUGUUGGUCUACUCUGGAUGCUUUCUUCUCCUCUCUCUCCUCUCUGUUCUGCUGUCUGUGCUCUCUCUCCUCAUGUCUAUGCUGAUCCUCUCUGGAUUCUUUGUUCUCCUCUCUGUGUGCUCGGUUCUCCUCUUGGUUCUCCACCCUGUUCUCUCUGUUCUUCUCUCUGUCCUCCCUGUCUACUUGGUUCUGCCCUAUCUCUUCUCCUCUCUGUUCUCCACUCUGAUCUCUCUGCUCUCCUGUCUUUUCACACAGUUCUCUGCUCUGUCCUCUCCAUUCUCCACUCUGUGCAGUUCCACACUUCUUUCUCCU